rnacentral:rRNA from 1 species
GACGAACGCUGGCGGCGUGCCUAAUACAUGCGAGUAGAACGCUGAAGGAAGGAGCUUGCUCUUUCUGGAUGAGUUGCGAACGGGUGAGUAACGCGUAGGUAACCUGCCUGGUAGCGGGGGAUAACUAUUGGAAACGAUAGCUAAUACCGCAUAAAAUUGAUUAUUGCAUGAUAGUCAAUUAAAAGGUGCAACUGCACCACUACCAGAUGGACCUGCGUUGUAUUAGCUAGUUGGUGGGGUAACGGCUCACCAAGGCGACGAUACAUAGCCGACCUGAGAGGGUGAUCGGCCACACUGGGACUGAGACACGGCCCAGACUCCUACGGGAGGCAGCAGUAGGGAAUCUUCGGCAAUGGACGGAAGUCUGACCGAGCAACGCCGCGUGAGUGAAGAAGGUUUUCGGAUCGUAAAGCUCUGUUGUAAGAGAAGAACGAGUGUGAGAGUGGAAAGUUCACACUGUGACGGUAUCUUACCAGAAAGGGACGGCUAACUACGUG